UAAAAACCCCGACUUCGGAAGGGGUGUAUUUAUUAGAUACAAAACCAAUGCCCUUCGGGGCUCUUUGGUGAUUCAUGAUAACUAUACGAAUCGCACGGCCUUGCGCCGGCGAUGGUUCAUCCAAAUUUCUUCCCUAUCAACUUUCGAUGUUUGGGUAUUGGCCAAACAUGGUUGCAACGGGUAACGGAGGGUUAGGGCUCGACCCCGGAGAAGGAGCCUGAGAAACGGCUACUACAUCCAAGGAAGGCAGCAGGCGCGCAAAUUACCCAAUCCCGACUCGGGGAGGUAGUGACAAUAAAUACUGAUACAGGGCCCUUUCGGGCCUUGUAAUUGGAAUGAGUACAAUUUAAAUCCCUUAACGAGGAACAAUUGGAGGGCAAGUCUGGUGCCAGCAGCCGCGGUAAUUCCGGCUCCAAUAGCGUAUAUUAAAGUUGUUGUGGUUAAAAAGCUCGUAGUUGAACCUUGGGCCUGGCUGGCCGGUCCGCCUCACCGCGUGCACUGGUCCGGCCGGGCCUUUCCCUCUGUGGAACCCCAUACCCUUCACUGGGCGUGGCGGGGAAACAGGACAUUUACUUU
rnacentral:rRNA from 1 species